CGUAGGGUCCAAGCGUUAUCCGGAAUCACUGGGCGUAAAGCGUGCGUAGGUGGCGCGUUAAGUGUGAUGUUAAAUCGUGUGGCUCAACCAUAUCGAUGCAUCGCAUACUGGCGUGCUAGAGGACAGCAGAGGCAAGUGGAAUUUGUAGUGUAGCAGUGAAAUGCGUAGAUAUUACAAGGAACACCAAUGGCGAAGGGCAGCUUGCUGGGCUACUCCUGACACUGAGGUACGAAAGCGUGGGGAGCGAACAGGAUUAGAUACCCUGGCAGUCCACGCCGUAAACGAUGCAUACUAGUCUUAUGGGGUAUCGACCCCCUGUGAGACGCAGCUAACGCGAUAAGUAUGCCGCCUGGGAAGGUACGGCCGCAAGGCUA
rnacentral:rRNA from 1 species